UAAAAACAUUAAUAAUUUUUAUAAAAAUAAAAAUAAUUAUAUUAAUAAAAGUUAUGACUAUUAUGGUAUUGAUACGGGUGCGUACGUUACUGAUCAUACAAAUUCGUACAUUACUGAUCAUACAAAUUCGUACGUUACUGAUCAUACAAAUUCGUACAUUAGUAAUAAUAAUUAUAUGAACAGUAUAAACGACUCUAUGUAUACAUACGAUACGAAUGGUUUUAUAAAAUAUAACCCCACUAGUAUUAACACUAACUGUGGAUAUAUUGGUGUAAAUAAUUUAAAAACUUAUAGUGAAAAUCCUAUAUAUUAUAAUAUGAAUAAUUAUUUGUCAGAUUAUAAUACUAAUAAUAGGUUAAAUACAAGUGUAAAUAAUAUAAGUACAAUUAGUGACAAUAAUAUUGUUACAUUUAUAAGUAAUGAAAAUAACGAAAAUGAUGAAAAUAAGAAUAAUAGUGAAAAUGAAAAAAUAGGAAUAAUAAUGAAAGUGAAGAAAAUAGGGAUAAUAGCGAAAGUAGUAAAUAUGAAAAAAACGUUUUUAAUAAUUUGAAUAAAAGUGAUAGUAACAAUAUAUUAUUAACUGAACAGUGUAAAGAUGUUUUUGUUAGUGAUAGUGAAGAAUCUAAAACACAAAAGGAAUAUGGAUUAAUAAAUAAUGAUACUUUUGAUAAAAAAAAAGAAAAACAAAACAGUGUUAUUGUUAAUGAUAUAGAGACGAAAGUCGAGAAGGGAUGUUAUAAAAAUGUUGUGGAGAACUGUGGUAAUAUAAAUGUAAAUUCGAAUUAUAACAUUGACGAUGUUAAUAUACAGAGUGAUAAUACAGUUAAUGUUAUUUUAGAAAAAGAAAGUGGCGAAUAUGUUUAUACGUCUAGUUUAAAAAUGGAACGUAAAAAAAGUGAUGGUACCGACAUUUGUAGUGGUAAUAGUAGUGGUAGUGGCAGUGGUAGUGGUAGUGGCAGUGGUAGUGGUAGUAGUAGUAGUGAGAAUGAGAAAAAAUGUAAGGAUAUUUACAGAACAAGUACAACAGUGGAAUUUACUUUAUGGGAGUCACAUAUUAAAUUAGUGAAAAAUAUAAUAUCAACUUAUAGUGAAAAUACAAACAUUGAAAAACAUGGUCUGUUUAACUUGUUGUUUGAUAUAUAUGGUCACACUAGAGAGAUGUUUGCAACUAUACCCGUAGGUGAUAAUGAGGAAAAAAAAGAAAAAACAAACGAAACGAGCGGAAUGGAUGCGACGAAAAAAACGGUGGAACUUAAUGUCGCGAUAAAAAAGAUUAUGGAAGAGUUACAAACAGAAAAAAAUAAUAAAAUUAUUGAAAAGUUAAUUUUUUUAAAAUACUUAUUCAAUCAGUAUAGCCCCCAAACUGAUGAAGAACAUAAUAAUCUGAUUUCUUUGACUAAUUUUGUUAAAAUUUUUAAAAAGUAUAAAAAUAUAUUUGGGUCAUAUAAAAUUACUUUAUUUAUGUUUAAUUGUUUUGAUAGAAAAAAAAAAAAACAUUAUAUUACACAAAGUGAUUUUAUAAUAGGUAUGUUAGCAUGUAGUCCAUUAAUGGAAAAUAAUAUAAACUGUGACAGUGGUAAAUUAAGACACCAACUUAUUUUUCGUGCGUACGAUAUUGAUAGAGAUGGGUUUCUGAAUGAAAAAGAAAUGUUAAUGUUACUUUAUCAUAUAUUUGAAUUGUCUAAAGAUAAUAUAUAUAUGGAAUUUAAAAAUGAUAAAAAUAAAUUAAAAUAUUAUGUUGUUAAAAAAAGAAACGAACUAAUGGAAGAAAAUAAAAAUAUAAGUUAUAAUUGUUUUUAUAAUUUAGUAUUGAAUAAUAAAAUAUGUGGUACUACUUACUUGUUACGAUCAAAUUAUGAUUUAGCAACUCUCGUCAAAUCAGAUUUUAUACAUUCCUUUUCCGUAGAUAAUAUAGGUAACUAUAGUUUAGUUAAUACUACUGUAUCGGAUUUAAACGAUACAGUUAGAACUGUGCAAAAAGUCGUACAAAGUGCAACUAUUGAUGUAAUGGAUACUACUGAUAUGGUGGCUACUGCAGGUGCUGGUAUUAGCACAGAGACAACAAAAGAAAUAGAUAGUAGUGACAUAAAAAAUAAACUGAAAAUGGAUAUACAAGUAGAUGAUAUAGAGAGUGAUAACAGUAAUGAUCAUAUGAAUAAAAACAGAAAUGAUGAUAUAUUCCAUGAUAGUAUUUCUGAAAAAAGUAGUUUGUUAAAUAUUAAUAAUCUUGUUAAUUUCGAUGAGAAUAAUGGUAAAACUAUAAGUAUAAAUAGUAUAGAUGUUAGGAAAUUAUAUAAAUUAGAUAAUUUAAAUAAUAAUGGUGGUAGUGACAAUGGUAGUGACAAUGGUAGUGAUAGUGGUAGUGACAAUGGUAGUGACAAUGGUAGUGACAAUGGUAGUGACAAUGGUAGUGACAAUGGUAGUGACAAUGGUAGUGAUAGUGGUAGUGACAAUGGUAGUGACAAUGGUAGUGACAAUGGUAGUGAUAGUGGUAUAAAUGGUAGUAAUAAUAACAUGUACAAUGACCAGAAGUAUGGUUUGUUUGAUUUACAAAACACUUCAUAUGAAGACGAAAAACCAAAGUUAUACAGCCACAACGUUAUUGAUAAGGAUAUAAAAAUAAGUGAACGACAAGAAGUAAACUUUGAAACAGUAGAAAAAAAUAAUAUAAAGGAAUCGUACUUAUGUGAAUAUGUAUAUAAAACUGAUUUGAACAGUGAUCGUUUUGAAAAUAAACAUAACUAUAUUACUAAUACAAAAGAGAAAAUAGAUGAUGAAAUUUGUUAUGAACAAAAUAGUUCUUUUAUAAAAGAUAGCAGCAUAAAAGAUAGCAGCAUAAAAGAUAGCAGCAUAAAAGAUAGUAACAUAAAAGAU
ensembl:lncRNA